CGGGUGGCUGCAGUGGGGAAUUUUGGGCAAUGGGCGCAAGCCUGACCCAGCCACGCCGCGUGAGUGAUGAAGGCCUUCGGGUUGUAAAGCUCUGUCGAGAGGAACGAAACUAACGGGGUAAUGCCCGGAACUGACGGUACCUCUAAAGGAAGCACCGGCUAACUCUGUGCCAGCAGCCGCGGUAAUACAGAGGGUGCAAGCGUUGUUCGGAAUUAUUGGGCGUAAAGCGCGUGUAGGCGGUCUGUUAUGUCUGAUGUGAAAGCCCGUGGCUUAACUGCGGAAGUGCAUCAGAAACUGGCAGACUUGAGUACCGGAGAGGGUGGCGGAAUUCCCGGUGUAGAGGUGAAAUUCGUAGAGAUCGGGAGGAACACCCGUGGCGAAGGCGGCCACCUGGACGAGUACUGACGCUGAGACGCGAAAGCGUGGGUAGCAAACAGGAUUAGAUACCCCGGUAGUC
rnacentral:rRNA from 1 species